GACCCCGUAGCUCAGUUGGUAGAGCACCUGACUUUUAAUCAGGGGGCCGCAGGUUCGAAUCCUGCCGGGGUCA
rnacentral:tRNA from 1 species